AGUCACCGCAGUUUCUGGAGCCAUUCACCCACAGGCUCGCAUCACGGUGGCUUCAAGUUGGUGGUGCGUCCCUUGGGCCCUCACCCGCCGGACUCCUACUUUCAAAUCUUAAGCCCCACAUUGUGGGAACCUGUUCAGGUCACUUCAGUCUAGGCCCUGGUGUUUAGGCUGGGGGAAGCGGGAGAGCUCAUGGGUGAUGAAGCCGUUUCUGAAAGCCAGUGUGGUUCCUGUGGCCACAAAAGUGCUUAUGGAUCAUACACAGAGUAAUGUGACCUUUGAGGAAGUGGCCAUGCACUUCUCCUGGAGGGAAUGGAGUCUCCUUGAUGAUGUUCCGAAACUCCUAUACUGCAGUGUGAUGCUGAGAACUUUUCACUGAUGGCCUCAAUGGGGUAUCUUCUUCCAAAAUUGGAACUGAGCUACCUGAUGGAAAAUGAGCAAGAUUAUUGUGUGGUGAAGAGAGGCCUCUCAUAAAGUUCCUGUCCAGAUGUGCCUUCUCUCUGGAUCCACAUUUCUUCUCUCAUCACAGAUCUUUCACCUGGUAUCACUUUUUGUCAUCCUUAAAUAGAAUUUUCUUUAAGAAUUUC
ensembl:lncRNA LINC01801 long intergenic non-protein coding RNA 1801